rnacentral:rRNA from 1 species
UACGGAGGAUCCAAGCGUUAUCCGGAAUCAUUGGGUUUAAAGGGUCCGUAGGCGGUUUGGUAAGUCAGUGGUGAAAGCCCAUCGCUCAACGGUGGAACGGCCAUUGAUACUGCCAGACUUGAAUUAUUAGGAAGUAACUAGAAUAUGUAGUGUAGCGGUGAAAUGCUUAGAGAUUACAUGGAAAUACCAAUUGCGAAGGCAGGUUACUACUAAUGGAUUGACGCUGAUGGACGAAAGCGUGGUAGCGAACAGG